rnacentral:rRNA from 1 species
AUGUCUGGGAAACUGCCUGAUGGAGGGGGAGUAACUACUGGAAACGGUAGCUAAUACCGCAUAACGUCGCAAGACCAAANAGGGGGACCUUCGGGCCUCUUGCCAUCAGAUGUGCCCAGAUGGGAUUAGCUAGUAGGUGGGGUAACGGCUCACCUAGGCGACGAUCCCUAGCUGGUCUGAGAGGAUGACCAGCCACACUGGAACUGAGACACGGCCCAGACUCCUACGGGAGGCAGCAUG